GGCGGCAGCGCUGGAGGCCCCGGGCCUGUGACCGCAAAGAGGGAGACGGGGGCCGGAUGGGAGCGCGGCGGCGGCAGCUGAGGCCCAGGCCAGGCCCCCUCCCCUCAGCCUCCCGCCUGCCCGUCUGCCCCGCCCCCGCCGGCGGCGCCGCGCCCCUCAGCCAACAGCCAAAUUAGCACGGUGCGGGGGCCGCGCGCGAAGACAUGGGGGAGAAGCUGGAGCUGAGGCUGGAGUCGCUCGUGGGGGCCGAGCCCGCCGUCUACCCGUGGCCGCUGCCGGUCUACCAUGCAAAUGGGUGAUUCCCUGACACUUGCUGCCACGUGUAUGCACCCUGAGGACACGAUGCUCAGCGAGAGCCGUCAGAAACAAAAGGACACACAGGGUCUGACUCCACUGAGGAGAAACGUACAGAGCAGGCCAUGCAAAGUGGUGAAGCCCUGACACUCGCUGCCACUUGGAUGCACCCUGAGACUUCUAUGCUAUGGGAGAGAAGUCAGACACAGAAGGACACACAGGGUGUGACGCCACUGAGGAGAAACGUCCAGAACAGCAUGAAAAGGGUGAACCCCUGACACUCGCUGCCACCUGGAUGCACCCUGAGGACACGAUGGUUGGCGAGACCAGUCAGACACAGGAGGACACACAGGGUCUGACCACACUGAGGAGAAACUGUCCCCCGCGCUCCCGUGUGGCCUGUGAGAGCAUCGCUCUCAGGACGAAGGGCUGACCACAGGAAGACUGAACGAGCAGUGGGUCCCCGGAAAAGACGCCCAUUUGGCGGCCCCCCACUUGGGGUAGUGACUGGGAGUUGGUGAGCCUCCAAGGAGACUGGCAACAACCCCAGGGCCUCACAGGGCCCGGCGCCCCUGGUCACAGUGCCUUCCCUCUGGUUCCCAUCACCAGUUGUCAACAGACUUGCACGCAAUGUUUCUCUCUUUUCUUUUCUUUUCUCAGUCCUUCUGCAUACAAAGAGGUGAACCCCUGACACUUGAUGCCACGUGGAUGCACCCUGAGUACACGAUGUUCGGCGAGACAAGUCAGACACAGAAGGGCAUAUAGGGUCUCACCCCACUGAGGAGAAACGUCAAGAACAGCACGCUAAGGGGUGAUGCCCGGACACUUGCUGCCACGUGUAUGCACCCUGAGGACACGAUGCUCAGCGAGAGCCGUCAGAAAAAAAAGGACACACAGGGUUUGACUCCACUGAGGAGAAACGUACAGAGCAGUCCUUCUGCAUGCAAAGAUGUAAACCCCUGACACUCAACGCCACGUGGAUGCACCCUGACACGAUGGUCGGUGAGACGAGUCAGACACAGACGGACACACAGGGUCUGACCCCACUGAAGAGAAACGUCCAGAACAGGUGUGAAACCCUGACACGCACUGCCACAUGGAUGAAUCCUGAGAACAUGAUGCUCAGCGAGAGAAGUCAGACACAGAAGGACACACAGGGUGUGACCCCACUGAGGAGAAACGUCCAGAACAGCACACAAAGGGUGAACCCCUGACACUCGCUGCCACCUGGAUGCACCCUGAGGACACGAUGCUCGGCGAGAGAAGUCAGACACAGAAGGACAUACAGGGUCUGACACCACUGAGGUGAAACGUCAAGAACAGGCCACACAAACGGGUGAAUCCCUGACAGUCGCUGCCACAUGGAUGCACCCUGAGACCAGAACACUAUGCAAGAGAAGUCAGAAAAGAAGGACACACAGGAUGUGACCCCACUGAGGAGAAAUAUCCAGAACAGUCCCUCAGCACACAAAGGGGUGAAGCCCUGACACUCACUGUCACGUGGAUGUACUCUGAGGACACAAUGCUCAGCGAGAGAAGUCAGACACAGAGGGACACUCAGGGUGUGACACCACUGAGGAGAAACGUCCAGAACAGGACUCUUCCACACGUGAGAAAAUGGGAGCUGUCUAUAUGUUAAAUCUGUAUAGACUUUGCAAAUGACCUUUUGUCUUUCAUCGAAAGCACUGGACCUGCAGCAGUGUGGCCUCACCAGUGAAGGAGCAAAGACUUUACUAAAGGCCCUUGAAACCAACAGAACUCUGCUCGUUCUGGAUAUAAGAAAAAAUCCACUUAUUGGAAAGAAGAAUAGUAGCUGUGCUGAGCUCUGCCAGGUCAGAUAGAAUUUUGGAGUAUUCUCUUUCUCUCUCUUGUAGACAGCCACUGUCAUUUGGUAAGCCAUAAGCCUUCCUUUGCUUUGACUGUGGUUAGUGUGUUUGCUGGAUUUCUAAAAUAUAUUUUUAGUGUUUACUUGUUUAGAUUGAAAAGAUUGGGCUAUAUUUUUAAAAGUUUAUCCCUCCAUUUUGGAAGGCCUUUUAAGUUGUGAUAUUGCAUGCAAGAGAGCUAACGGAAUUCUGGACUCCAUAUUUUCGUUUUUACCUUUUUUCUUUUUCCUCAGAUUUGAACCAACAAUGGCUAAGAAUGAGAGGAACUCAGACCCGAAUAUUUUUUCCCUUGUCAAGCACAGAGAAUAUGGGAAAAAAUGAAACUGGGAAAUUGUUUUGCUCGUCUUCUUUUCCUCCUUUUUGGUCAGUUACCUUAGUCGGCCACCUCACUUUGUAUUUCUAGCCUGGCUUCAGAAAGACCUGAACUUGAUGAACGACACACUGUUGGAGUAGUAGAUUGCUACAAGGAACCAAGAUCCAGACGACCUUAAAUGGAGGCUACAUGGAAUUAUAUUCAAGAAGGAUGGUCCAGCCAAUAUCCUCACUUCCAUUGUGAAAGGAGUUCCCUAUUCCUAAGAUAAUGGACCUAUGUCCCACUGGCACAGAAGAUGGAGAUUUAUCCCAGUGCCUUUAUAUAUGUAUAGAUAUUAAAAUUAUAUAUAUAUAUAUGUUUAUAUAUAGAUAAUGCCUAAUGGAACUA